AUUGAACGCUGGCGGCGUGCUUAACACAUGCAAGUCGUGCGGUAACAGGCGUAGCAAUACGUGCUGACGAGCGGCGAACGGGUGCGUAAUACAUGGGAAUCUGCCUUUUAGUGGGGAAUAACCCGGCGAAAGCCGGGCUAAUGCCGCAUAAGAUCUUCGGAUGAAAGCGGGGGAUCGUAAGACCUCGCGCUGAUAGAUGAGCCCAUGCCGGAUUAGCUAGUUGGUGAGGUAACGGCUCACCAAGGCGACGAUCCGUAGCUGGUCUGAGAGGACGGCCAGCCACACUGGGACUGAGACACGGCCCAGACUCCUACGGGAGGCAGCAGUGGGAAUAUUGGACAAUGGGGAAACCCUGAUCCAGCGACGCCGCGUGUGUGAAGAAGGCCUGCGGGUUGUAAAGCAC
rnacentral:rRNA from 1 species